CAUUGAUUAGAGCAUGUCGCAUUGCAGGGUGCUACCAUUGCUCAAUGCUUCAUAGCUACCAUGCUAACAUCGGCGCUUUACUUUUUUCAACAAGCCUUCGAAUCUGGGAGCCGAGACCACGGCAGGGUGCAUUUCCUUUCCGAGCCCCAGGUAACCGGGCAUGGAGGGGGAUCUUGUUUGAUAUUGACGCUCCGGGCUCGAAAAAUUCAAGACUUAAUCUCACAUCGACUUUCUGAACCAGCCUGCUCCACCGUCGGCCACGGCCCCAUCGUCAGCCAUGUUUGUUUUUGCUGCUGCUGUACUAUCAAAGGCUAACUGCUUUACAGCACCUCCUGGUGCUGCCUGGGAGGAAACUUCUCUGUUUGCUGUAAAGAAUCUGGGCUACAUAUUUUGACGGGAUGCAUCCGCGGCGGUAGAGUGGACCACCACCAUCCACAAUCAUACCGCUACCAACAUGUCAACACUCCAGUUUAACCAGAACUUUAGUCAAGCUUUAAGGCUCUGCCUGUGUCGGAACGCCUUGACAUCGUAUGGAUGUGCCCCACGUCUCUCAGCAAAGAAAAAAGAAGAAAAAGCCAGCCCCCUGUUGGUCUGCGUGAUGUAGCCAAGGACAGAGUGGGUUUCUGGAGGUGGGUGCUGCAUUGUGGGGGCGUUGGGUUGAGGUGCCGGAGAGCUGAUCGAUCCACAGCGGCAGGUGGCCGAGCAGAAGAGGGCUCCCGAAACCUGCCCUGACUACAAAGCAAACGGCACGCAAUCUGCAAACAGAAAAGCAAGUGAAGAGAGGGCUGUCUGAUAACAGAGGACACGCAUUUGAAGAAACAACAACCAUCAGAGCGGACGUGCACGAACUCUCAACACUCAGUCAACAACAGCACAGACGGUGCAUGUCAUUCAUAUGGUUGCUUAAGUGUUUCUUUCUCUUUGAGGAAGUUCCACCCAUUAUCCUGAAAUAUAAAUCACACAUGUCAUUAAAGUGGCUUUUUUUCUGAAAACAAUAGUGUCUGUUUUCAAAUACAGAAGACAGUGGGAGGCUUUCUGUGCCACCCCCGACUCUCUUGCAUCUUGUCGAUGGCUUCACUAAUCGCCAUGACUGACUGACCUUUAGGCCGGUCCCCUUCUGGGAUUUACACCUUUCACUGGCUCGACCUUUGCCACCCAACCCUCCUACAGACACUCUCGUCACGUGAGCUCAGCAUCAGCGCUGGACAAGACCUGCUGCUGGCCAAUGUGUAGGCUGCUGCUGCCUCAGCAAGUCAAAACCUCUCUAGGAGGUAGGAUUCAGCCAGUGCUUCAUUAACCCACCCCCCAACCUCAACCAACUCAUCUACCCCCCACCUGCAUCAUGAAAGUUUCCCCUAUGGCCUGGAGCAAGGUAGACUUGCUUAAAGCUCAGCCUAAUGACGUGUGCCAUGGUGGAGGAGACCAAAUGCCACCACCACAUAUGGGGAUGAUUACAGGAAGUGGUGCAGAAUUGUAGGGGGACCUCAAGAUUUUGAGGGGUGGGUGUUGGGGACUCAAUUGUGGCACUGCGGCUGUGAAUUCCCAGAGGCCUUUGUGUGGGGAAACUCAGCAAAAGCUUCAUCCUGCCCAGGUCACGCAAAUUUAGGAAAAAAUGCACAGCUUAUGGGGGUAGCGUUCUCUUUAUUCCUUAAUUAAACACCCAUGAUGCAUUGCCUUUGCAGAUUUAAUGAAAAACAAACAAAAUACUAGGCUGUGGUUUCCCUUAAAUGCCAAACAAAUAGAUGCACUCGAAGUCAAGUCAGCUGUCUUGUUCUGCUAAAGUCAAAAUAACUUUCUUGUUCUUUAAAACAGUGGAUAAAGUAAAUUAAGCUUGUCCUUCGUAUAGAGGUUAUUUGUCUCUGAGUCUGCAUGUGCACUGGAGCAUGAAAGCAGAAAGAAACAAUUUAUUGAACAUUUUUUGUAGAUACUUUGUUUUUCUCUGCUGAUCUGCUGUAUGAAUCUCAUCCUAACCAGAGACUUUUCUUUAGCAGUCAGUCUGGUCCAGAAGCACUGAUUUUACUUUCUCAUUAAGAGUGAAAUCAGCACAAGGAUUGCUUACUUUUUAUACUUCAAGUUUUUCAAGCAUCACCUUACUGUGACAUCAUAAAAAGUGUAUUAAACCUUUUCAGUUUU